GUGACACCGACAGGUGACACCGACAGGUGACACCAACAGGUGACACCGACAGGUGACACUGGGAGGGGACAGGUGACAGUGUGUGACUGACAGUGCGUGACAGGCUCAGGUGGCACCGGGGGGGUC